rnacentral:tRNA from 1 species
GCGGGUGUGGUUCAGUGGUAGAAUAACUCCCUUCCAAGGAGUAGAUGGCAGUUCGAUUCUGCUCACCCGCU